CACGUAGGAGGCGAGCGUUGUCCGGAAUCAUUGGGCGUAAAGAGCGCGCAGGCGGCCCGGCAAGUCGGGUGUGAAAUCCCGGGGCUCAACCCCGGGACUGCAUUCGAUACUGUCGGGCUAGAGGUAGGUAGGGGAGAUCGGAAUUCCUGGUGUAGCGGUGAAAUGCGCAGAUAUCAGGAAGAACACCUAUGGCGAAGGCAGCUCUCUGGGACGGUACUGACGCUGAGACGCGAAAGCGUGGGGAGCGAACAGG
rnacentral:rRNA from 1 species